rnacentral:rRNA from 1 species
UACGGAGGAUGCGAGCGUUAUCCGGAUUUAUUGGGUUUAAAGGGUGCGUAGGCGGGCAUUUAAGCCGGCGGUCAAAUGUCGGGGCUCAACCCCGGCCUGCCGUCGGAACUGGGUGCCUUGAGUGGGCGAGAAGUACGCGGAAUGCGUGGCGUAGCGGUGAAAUGCAUAGAUAUCACGCAGAACUCCGAUUGCGAAGGCAGCGUACCGGCGCCCAACUGACGCUGAAGCACGAAGGCGUGGGUAUCGAACAGG